rnacentral:rRNA from 1 species
CUACGGAAGGCAGCAGUAAGGAAUAUUGGUCAAUGGACGCAAGUCUGAACCAGCCAUGCCGCGUGAAGGAUGAAGGUCCUCUGGAUUGUAAACUUCUUUUAUAUGGGACGAAACCUGGGAAUUCCUUCCCAAUUGACGGUACCAUAAGAAUAAGCACCGGCUAACUCCGUGCCAGCAGCCGCGGUAAUACGGAGGGUGCAAGCGUUAUCCGGAUUCACUGGGUUUAAAGGGUGCGUAGGAGGGUAGGUAAGUCAGUGGUGAAAUCUUCGAGCUUAACUCGGAAACUGCCGUUGAUACUAUCUAUCUUGAAUACCGUGGAGGUGAGCGGAAUAUGUCAUGUAGCGGUGAAAUGCUUAGAUAUGACAUAGAACACCAAUUGCGAAGGCAGCUCGCUACACGAAUAUUGACUCUGAGGCACGAAAGCGUGGGGAUCAAACAGGAUUAGAUACCCGGGUAGUCCC